rnacentral:ribozyme from 1 species
CAAUUGGUGCCCGUAGCAUCGUGAAGCCCAUUGCGCCGCUGAUUACGUCACUGCAGAUUCUGCAGAUGGUGGUGGGAAUGGCUGUGACCGCGUCGACCUUUGUUUGGCGCCAAGACAGUGAGGGCUGCAUUGUCGAUCCUGCGAACUCGCGCAU